UGUGUAUCAGUACAUGGCAUAUCAAUAAGCGGAGGAAAAGAAACUAACAAGGAUUCCCUUAGUAACGGCGAGUGAAGCGGGAAGAGCUCAAAUUUGAAAUCUUCAAGGUUUUACCUUGACGAAUUGUAGUUUAAAGAAGUGUUUUCUGUUGAAGUUUUGGUAAAAGUUCUUUGGAAUAGGACAUCAUAGAGGGUGAGAAUCCCGUAUUUGACCAUUAUUUUCAGCUGUGUGAUACACUUUCAAAGAGUCGGAUUGUUUGGGAAUGCAGUCCAAAAUGGGUGGUAAAUUUCAUCUAAAGCUAAAUAUUGGCGAGAGACCGAUAGCGAACAAGUACCGUGAGGGAAAGAUGAAAAGAACUUUGAAAAGAGAGUUAAACAGUACGUGAAAUUGUCAAAAGGGAAGCGUUUGACACCAGUGUUGUUUUCUCGAAAAUCAAUUAAAAAAGGCCGGAUUUUGUGUUGUAUUGACCUUAAAAGCUUUCUUCACUCUUUUCUUGUCUUUUUUAAUGCACUUUUCGUUUAACAAGUCAACAUCAGUUUCUUUUGUUGUAAAAGGGUCAUUGGAAGGUGGCUUUCUUUUCGGAGAAAGUGUUUAUAGCCUUUGAUCUCUGCAAUCGGAGAGAUUGAGGUCUGCAGCGUAGACUCUUCGGGGUUAGAUACAUUUGUGCUAAGUUAUAGCCUUUUCCAUAGACAACUUGUUGACUAUAUUCAGUCAUGUAGGCUUACUCGCUUAUGUCAUUUUACCUACGCUUAGGAUGUUGACAGCAGUAUAGACUG
rnacentral:rRNA from 1 species